AAGCUUGCUUUCUUUGCUGGCGACCGGCGCACGGGUGAGUAACACGUAUCCAACCUACCCUUUACUCGGGGAUAGCCUUUCGAAAGAAAGAUUAAUACCCGAUGGCAUAGUUCUUCCGCAUGGUAGAACUAUUAAAGAAUUUCGGUCAUCGAUGGGGAUGCGUUCCAUUAGGUUGUUGGCGGGGUAACGGCCCACCAAGCCUUCGAUGGAUAGGGGUUCUGAGAGGAAGGUCCCCCACAUUGGAACUGAGACACGGUCCAAACUCCUACGGGAGGCAGCAUG
rnacentral:rRNA from 1 species